UGGCGGACGGGUGAGUAACGCGUGGGUAACCUGCCUCAUACAGGGGGAUAACAGUUAGAAAUAGCUGCUAAUACCGCAUAAGCGCACGGUUCCGCAUGGAACAGUGUGAAAAACUCCGGUGGUGUGAGAUGGACCCGCGUCUGAUUAGCCAGUUGGCGGGGUAACGGCCCACCAAAGCGACGAUCAGUAGCCGGCCUGAGAGGGUGAACGGCCACAUUGGGACUGAGACACGGCCCAAACUCCUACGGGAGGCAGCAUG
rnacentral:rRNA from 1 species